rnacentral:rRNA from 1 species
UGGGGAAUAUUGGACAAUGGGGGGAACCCUGAUCCAGCCAUGCCGCGUGUGUGAAGAAGGCCUUAUGGUUGUAAAGCACUUUAAGCGAGGAGGAGGCUACUAGUAUUAAUACUACUGGAUAGUGGACGUUACUCGCAGAAUAAGCACCGGCUAACUCUGUGCCAGCAGCCGCGGUAAUACAGAGGGUGCGAGCGUUAAUCGGAUUUACUGGGCGUAAAGCGUGCGUAGGCGGCCAUUUAAGUCAAAUGUGAAAUCCCCGAGCUUAACUUGGGAAUUGCAUUCGAUACUGGAUGGCUAGAGUAUGGGAGAGGAUGGUAGAAUUCCAGGUGUAGCGGUGAAAUGCGUAGAGAUCUGGAGGAAUACCGAUGGCGAAGGCAGCCAUCUGGCCUAAUACUGACGCUGAGGUACGAAAGCAUGGGGAGCAAACAGGAUUAGGAUACCCUGGUAGUCCAUGCCGUAAACGAUGUCUACUAGCCGUUGGGGCCUUUGAGGCUUUAGUGGCGCAGCUAACGCGAUAAGUAGACCGCCUGGGGAGU